UGCGUGGGGCAAAGCGUGCGUAAAAUGAAGCGGCGCGUGACAAAACGCACAUGUUCGUUUGGCUUGGUGAUGCGAGUUUGGAGAGUCGGGCCAAACUGAAUCGUGCGCCUUGCGUUGCUCGCCUUUUCCCGUUAGCUAUGCCCGGGCACUUUUCCGCUGAAAUAAAAGCUUGAUGGCUGAGCUGUGUCAUUGCAACUAAAGCUUGGGACGUCCACUUUAAAGUUAAGAUUCCUGUGCCGAAGGACUUCCCACCCUCCAAUACCGCCCCGCAGCUUUUCCCGCAUUGCUAUGAGCUCACCGUGUGACCACAUCGUUGCAGUAGCGUACCGCACGGCACAGUACGGACAGCUGGGCGUCAACACAGUUCCGCCUCCUCUGUACUGAAAGUGAUGAGACUCGUCACCGACUCAUAACAAUGGUGAGUUAAAGGUCCCAUAUUGUCAAACGUUAACUGAGGUCUAGGGGCUAUUUAACUAGCAUAUAAGUUUCAAAACAGUCAGUCCACAGUAAAAUGCACACAGCCUGCAUAAAGUAGGUGUGAUUUUUCACGAUCCAUUGUGACUUGCGUAAAAAGGUGACGUCAGAACUACACAGUCACCGCCUUCAGUCACCACCCUGAGCCAUGGGCGUAGCUUGUGGGGGGGCCAGGGGGGCCUGGCUCCCCCACAGCGAUUUAAGAAUUGUACAAAAUAUUUAUUGAUAUAGUUUUUUCUGUGAAGUAAAACUGCAUAUAAUGCAGUUAAUAAUACAUGUAAAAGUGAAUACAUUUUAAAUUGUUAUUGUAAGUAAAUUAAUAAAUCAAGA
rnacentral:lncRNA from 1 species